CUACUCUCUGUCUCUAGGGAGGACUUGGCUGAAAUCUCCGAGGCAGGAGAUGAAUCCUGAUGAGAGCCAAAGUUUCUCUGAGGUGGCUCAUGGCCUAGACGCUGCUGCCCAGAACGCUGUUCGUCUUGGAGUCUGCGUGUGGGAUUCUUACGGUUCUCUGAUGGACCCAGUCACGCCAGCCAGCAUGGCACAGAAGCAAUGUGCAGUUCAACGGAGAAGAGCCACGGCGCUAUGUGGCUUGUCUCCGGAACGUCCUCAUCUGGGGAACGCCACCUCAGCACCCCCUCAGCGCCCCAAAGCUUCUGUCUGUGGUUGUUUCCUGUGCGAGUACAACUCGGAGCAUUCAAGCUGUUGUACCAGACUCAUCUUGCCCAGUGUCAGAAUCUCUUGUUCAAGACAGGCUGGGUGUGAAGCAUGCCUAUAGUCCUGGCACAUCAGGAGCUCAAGGCCGGUCCAGCUACUUGAGACCCGUGUGAGAGCUUAGAAGGUAAAGGUGCUUGCUGCUGUGCUUGACAGC
rnacentral:lncRNA from 1 species